AAAAGUCCAAUGUACUCAAAUACUAAGUAUCCUAUUUUUGACAUCAUUAAAAACAUUUCUAAGAGGAUAGUGCACUCACAUACUCUCCGUUUUUUAUGAUGACAAAACUUAUGAAGUAUUUGUUGUCUUGAUCAUAACUCCCCCUCAAUAUGUGCGUUAGAAUUUUUUCUUGCAUAAACUUAUCCCUCUUUGAUAACAUCAAAAAGAGACAAAGAUGCAAAUUGUGAGAAGCAUCAUGAAAUAUACACACCAACAUCAAGGCUUGUUCUGAC
rnacentral:lncRNA from 1 species